AAUGAACGCUGGCGGCGUGCUUAACACAUGCAAGUCGAACGAUAAACCCCGGCUUGCCGGGGAAGUAAAGUGGCGCACGGGUGAGUAACGCGUGGGUAAUCUACCCUCGAAUUGGGGAUAACAUACCGAAAGGUGUGCUAAUACCGAAUAAGACCACGAUCACUCCGGUGAUCGAGGUCAAAGAUGGCCUCUGCUUGCAAGCUGUCGUUUGAGGAUGAGCCCGCGUACCAUUAGCUUGUUGGUGGGGUAAUGGCCUACCAAGGCAACGAUGGUUAGCUGGUCUGAGAGGAUGGCCAGCCACACUGGAACUGGAACACGGUCCAGACUCCUACGGGAGGCAGCAGUGAGGAAUUUUGCGCAAUGGGGGAAACCCUGACGCAGCAACGCCGCGUGAGUGAAGAAGGCCUUCGGGUUGUAAAGCUCUGUCAAGUGGGAAGAAACUUUUUCGAUCGAAUAAGUCGAGAAAUUGACGGUACCGCUGAAGGAAGCACCGGCUAACUCCGUGCCAGCCGCCGCGGUAAUAC
rnacentral:rRNA from 1 species